rnacentral:rRNA from 1 species
AGAGUUUGAUCAUGGCUCAGAUUGAACGCUGGCGGCAGGCCUAACACAUGCAAGUCGAGCGGUAGCACAGAGAGCUUGCUCUCGGGUGACGAGCGGCGGACGGGUGAGUAAUGUCUGGGAAACUGCCUGAUGGAGGGGGAUAACUACUGGAAACGGUAGCUAAUACCGCAUAAUGUCGCAAGACCAAAGUGGGGGACCUUCGGGCCUCAUGCCAUCAGAUGUGCCCAGAUGGGAUUAGCUUGUAGGUGGGGUAACGGCUCACCUAGGCGACGAUCCCUAGCUGGUCUGAGAGGAUGACCAGCCACACUGGAACUGAGACACGGUCCAGACUCCUACGGGAGGCAGCAGUGGGGAAUAUUGCACAAUGGGCGCAAGCCUGAUGCAGCCAUGCCGCGUGUGUGAAGAAGGCCUUCGGGUUGUAAAGCACUUUCAGCGGGGAGGAAGGCGGUGAGGUUAAUAACCUCAUCGAUUGACGUUACCCGCAGAAGAAGCACCGGCUAACUCCGUGCCAGCAGCCGCGGUAAUACGGAGGGUGCAAGCGUUAAUCGGAAUUACUGGGCGUAAAGCGCACGCAGGCGGUCUGUCAAGUCGGAUGUGAAAUCCCCGGGCUCAACCUGGGAACUGCAUUCGAAACUGGCAGGCUAGAGUCUUGUAGAGGGGGGUAGAAUUCCAGGUGUAGCGGUGAAAUGCGUAGAGAUCUGGAGGAAUACCGGUGGCGAAGGCGGCCCCCUGGACAAAGACUGACGCUCAGGUGCGAAAGCGUGGGGAGCAAACAGGAUUAGAUACCCUGGUAGUCCACGCCGUAAACGAUGUCGAUUUGGAGGUUGUGCCCUUGAGGCGUGGCUUCCGGAGCUAACGCGUUAAAUCGACCGCCUGGGGAGUACGGCCGCAAGGUUAAAACUCAAAUGAAUUGACGGGGGCCCGCACAAGCGGUGGAGCAUGUGGUUUAAUUCGAUGCAACGCGAAGAACCUUACCUGGUCUUGACAUCCACAGAACUUUGCAGAGAUGGUUUGGUGCCUUCGGGAACUGUGAGACAGGUGCUGCAUGGCUGUCGUCAGCUCGUGUUGUGAAAUGUUGGGUUAAGUCCCGCAACGAGCGCAACCCUUAUCCUUUGUUGCCAGCGGUCCGGCCGGGAACUCAAAGGAGACUGCCAGUGAUAAACUGGAGGAAGGUGGGGAUGACGUCAAGUCAUCAUGGCCCUUACGACCAGGGCUACACACGUGCUACAAUGGCAUAUACAAAGAGAAGCGACCUCGCGAGAGCAAGCGGACCUCAUAAAGUAUGUCGUAGUCCGGAUUGGAGUCUGCAACUCGACUCCAUGAAGUCGGAAUCGCUAGUAAUCGUAGAUCAGAAUGCUACGGUGAAUACGUUCCCGGGCCUUGUACACACCGCCCGUCACACCAUGGGAGUGGGUUGCAAAAGAAGUAGGUAGCUUAACCUUCGGGAGGGCGCUUACCACUUUGUGAUUCAUGACUGGGGUGAAGUCGUAACAAGGUAACCGUAGGGGAACCUGCGGUUGGAUCACCU